AUUAAACGCUGGCGGCAGGCCUAACACAUGCAAGUCGAACGAGCGGCGGACGGGUGAGUAAUAUAUUGGGACUGCCCGAGAGAGAUGGAUAACACCUGGGAACGAGAGCUAAUACAGCAUACUAUCGGAUAGCCCAUAGGUGCUUAGCUAUUAGGUGAGGUAAUGGCUCACAGAGGCGACGAUCACCAGCGGGUCUGAGAGGAUGAUCAGCCACACUGGGACUGAGACACGGCCCAGACUCCUACGGAGGCAGCAGUGGGGAAGAUUGCACAAUGGGCGCAAGCCUGAUGCAGCCAUGCCGCGUGUAUGAAGAAGGCCUUAGGGUUGUAAAGUACUUUCAGUCGGGAGGCGUUACCGACAGAAGAAGCACCGGCUAACUCCGGGCCAGCCGCCGCGGUAAUUC
rnacentral:rRNA from 1 species